rnacentral:rRNA from 1 species
UACGGAGGGUGCAAGCGUUAUCCGGAUUCACUGGGUUUAAAGGGUGCGUAGGUGGGCAGGUAAGUCAGUGGUGAAAUCUCCGGGCUUAACUCGGAAACUGCCAUUGAUACUAUCUGUCUUGAAUGCCCUGGAGGUAAGCGGAAUAUGUCAUGUAGCGGUGAAAUGCUUAGAUAUGACAUAGAACACCAAUUGCGAAGGCAGCUUACUAAGCUUUAACUGACACUGAGGCACGAAAGUGUGGGGAUCAAACAGG